GGAUUUCAAAGGCAGCAGGAUGAAAGAUAUGUGUCUGUGUUCAUCAAGACAUGAAGACUCUGGAGUGGGACAAGAGAAGGAUGAUGGGGUGUUAUUCCAAUAGACACAUUAAGUCACAUUGUGAUUUCAGUGAAAGCUGAUAAAUACAGAGGGCUGGACAGUGGUUUCAUUCAUUAGGUAAAGACGUGGGACAAGGAUGCUGACAGGACAGGAGGAGGUGACAUUCAGACAUUCAACGCAGACACUUUCAUCCAAAGCAACUUGAGGAAGAAAACAGAAGCAGUUCAUCCUAAAAGUGGGCUGCUGUAAUGUUUACAUCUAUGGAAAGAGGAGCUGAGAAGAAAAGAGACGCUGGAAAGCAGUACUUCUUGUUGAGGACAAUCCUGAAUAGGAACCCUUUCUCAUACACAUAGAUUAUUAUUAGUGUUUGAUUGUUUGUUUCAUUUUUAUGAAUUGUAUUGUUUUAAUUUUUCGUUUUAUUUUAAAUUACCUAAGUUAGAUUCAUGCUAAUACUUUAACUGGACCUUGUAUCUUUGCUGGCUGGCUGGCUGUAGAGUUGGUUUCACAUACACAUGAAGUUUCUAAUUAACUAACUUUUAAGUUCAGUUUGGUUUAAACUUGUAUUUACCCAUGGUAAUUCAUUUAAAUUUCUAUUCAUACUUAUAUAUUAAUUUCAAUGAACUUCUGUAUUUGUGUAUAGCUGGCAAUUUGGGCAAGCAACGUUUCACACACCAAUGUAACUGUCACAAAGGGUUUUUUUAUUAUCAGUUUGUUCUAAAUUUUUGUUUGUUUACUAAGGAUGAAAUUGCUUUGUAAUUUAAGUUGUUGGUAGAUUCAUGCCAAUAAUGUAUUUGAACAAACUAGUAUUUUUGUUUAUUGCUGGCAGUUUAUACUAGAAGAGUUUUAACACGUACAAUGUUGUAGUGUUAUUGACUUGUGUGUUAUUGAUUAA